rnacentral:rRNA from 1 species
CACGUAGGGCGCGAGCGUUGUCCGGAAUUAUUGGGCGUAAAGAGCUCGUAGGCGGCCUGUUGCGUCCGCUGUGAAAGCCCGGGGCUUAACCCCGGGUCGGCAGUGGAUACGGGCAGGCUAGAGGUAGGUAGGGGAGAAUGGAAUUCCCGGUGUAGCGGUGAAAUGCGCAGAUAUCGGGAGGAACACCGGUGGCGAAGGCGGCUCACUGGCUCGUUUCUGACGCUCAGGCGCGACAGCGUGGGGAUCAAACAGG